CUUUUCCCUUAGUUUCUCUUUUCUUCGCGUUUUUCUUUUCACGUUCAGCUAGCUCUCUCUUCUCCUCACGACUUUUCUUCACGAUUUCCUCUCCUCUCUUCUCCGGCUCUCUAUUCCUCUUUCACCUUUGUUCUCCAGCUAAAGUUCAAGUGAUUUGGGCACACAAUUGUAAGAUGAUAUCUUUUUUUUUUUUUUUGCUGUGAAGGAAAUUUUUUUCUAAUAAUGGGUACACAACUGCAAGAUGAUUUCUUUUUUUUCUCCUUUUUACGGUUUAUGUGAAUUUCACUAUCUUCUUUUUACCCUUUUUGGGAAUCUAUCUGGGGAUGAUUUAUUGCCUGUUGAUCAUCGUUAACUUGGGAUUGAUUUAUUUAAACUCAGUUCAGGGAUUUUUGGAGUUUAUGAAUUCGAGUGGAGUUUGUUGUUAUUUUUAUGAUAGAACUUAUGGGAAUGAAAACUAGAUGGUAAUGUUAGACCCCCCAUUUUAGUAACUUGCUAAAGAUCGAUAAAAUGGAGAAUUUGUUAGGAUGUGAGUUCAUAGUUUGAAGGACGAGGUGUGAAUUUUGGCAGAGUUUUGGAAUUGUGGGAUUAGUGAAUGGUUAGUUAAGAAUGCAAGGGAAGGUUAAGAUAGUCUUCCUCUUAAAACUUUGUUUUUAAUUUAUUUUCGUACUUUGUUUUGUUUUUAAUUUAUUUUCUAAAAGAAAAACCAGCUUCGAUGUAGCAGAAUGAAUCCAAAACCUAAAGAACAUGGAACUCAACAACUUGGUGCUCCCUCUUAAAACUUUGGAAACUGAAGACAUCUAUAUUGUUUCUGCUAUGCUUUGACAAGGCCGAAUAUUGACUUUUUCUGUUAGCAUGGGGUAGUAUCACAAUCCAUUUCUCAGUUGAAAGUAUAUGGAAAGAAUGUCACAAAAAUCAAUUGAACGACUUUGUGUCGAUGACGUUGUUGAGAUUGAUGGAUUAAAAAGUGUGGGACCAUGGUCAAAUAAGAGUGAAGCUUUGUUUGUAGACUUAAUGGAUGAAGAGGUUGCAAAAGGCAAUCGACCAACUACAACAUUUACAAAGACUAGUUGGAAUUAUAUGAGAAGCAAACUAAAUGCUAGUACAAGAUAUAAUUUUUCUCAUGAUCAAUUGAAAAAUAAGUUUAACAGAUUAAGAUAAAUUUACAAAGACUUCAAAAAGAUAUUAAGUGAUAUGACAGGAAAUGGUUGUGAUCCAUUAUUAGGUACCAUCAAUCUUGAAGAGGAGCAAUGGAAUGAGCUUUUUAAGGUGAAUAAGAGAGCUAAAAAGUUUAGCAAAAGUGGUUCCCCACAUUAUGAAAAACUCGUAAGGAUUUUUUGAGAUACUACUGCAACAGGUGUAAAUGUUUGCCCAUCAACAUGAUUUAUUUCAGAUUCUGAAGAUGAAAAUGAAAAUGAUGUUGCAAGCAACACAAACGUUGGUGUUGAAGAGAAUGAUAAAGGAAAAAGCAAAAAAGGAGUUCGAAGAAAGAAAGACGAAUUUGGCAGUUUCUUCUCAUCAUUUUUAGAUGUCUAUGCGGAGAAUGUAAAGAGAAAGAAUGACAUCUUUGAGAAAAGAUCUUUUGGUUGUACAUCUAGUUAAGUUGAUAAGAGUCAAAAAGAAAGCAAAAAAGAUGAUCUCCAUGAAGAGUUGAUGGAAUGUUUAUACAUUUUAAAUACAAUGGAAGAUAUUGAUGAAGAGGCUUAUUCCAAAAUACUGAAACUCUUACACGAAGAUCUUGCUUGGAGAAAGCUAUUUUUGCGCAUGCCUGAUUCAAGGAAGUAAGAUUUCAUAAAUAGUUUUAGAUGUCACUUAGGGAUGUUUUAGGAUUAUGUCAUUUCUUUUUAAUAUUAGACUUGAACAUGGAUUUUGUAUGUUGGUCUUUGUAUUGAUAUGAACUUGAUAUGGACUUCAAUUGACUUUAUGGUUUUGUGUUGUUUUUUAACAUGCCUACGUUUUAUGUACUGAGAUGGAUUUGUACAUUUUUUGUGUUUGAUUUAGGGAUAUACUAGUGAAUUGAUAUGGACUUGAUUCAAGAUAAUCAUUCUGAUGACGAUUUUAAUUCUGACGACGAUGACGAUGGUAUCUACAUCCUUUUUACUUUAUUCUACAUGAGCUUGCACAGGAUACAAUCUUUAAAACAACCAUGUAGAACCUCUGCACUGAGAGGACAUGAUUAUGUGAUUGAGUUGUUAAAUAGAAACGAUAGUAAAUGUUUUGAUUGUUUUAGGAUGAAAAGAAUUACACUCAUAAGGUUUUGUGAAGAUUUAAAAUAAAAAACAAAUCUAAAAUCAUCUAGGUAUCUUAUCGUUCAAGAAAAAGUUACUAUAUUCUUAUUAAUCAUAUCACAUAAUGAAAGCAAUCAUAUAACAACAGAAAGAUUUCAACAUUCGGGUCAUACUAUUUCUCUAGCUUUUAACCUUGUUUUAAGGAAAGUUUGCAAGCUUGGUGGAGAAAUUAUUCGCGCACCCAAUAUGGACACUAUACCAAUGGAGAUCAUAUCAAAUUCAAUAUAUUACCCUUUCUUUAAGGAUCAACCAAUGAUUUUCGCAUACUUCAAGAAUGUAUCAAGAAUCCCGAGAAUAAAUUUCCUAUGCCUAAGAGAGAUCAAUACUAUCUUGUCGAUUCAGGAUAUUCAAAUAUGCCAAGAUUUUUAGCACCAUUUCAAGGUCGAAGAUAUCAUUUACGAGAUUUUAGAGAAAGGAGACAUUGCCCUCGAGGUAGAGAAGUGUUUAAUUAUCGACAUUCUUCACUGCGAAAUGUCAUUGAACGUUGUUUUGGUGUGCUGAAGGCUCGAUUUCCUAUUCUUAAGCAAAUGCCUCCUUACCCGAUCAAGACACAUAAAUAUAUAUCGAUAGCAUGUUGCACAAUUCACAAUUAUAUUAGAUUGAAUGAUCGUCAAGAUGAUCUUUUCAAUGACUUUAGCAAUGAA